rnacentral:rRNA from 1 species
GACGAACGCUGGCGGUGUGCUUCACACAUGCAAGUCGAACGAGGUAGCAAUACCUAGUGGCGGACGGGUGAGUAACGCGUGGGAAUCUGCCCAUAGGUGGGGGAUAACUAGCCGAAAGGUUAGCUAAUACCGCAUAUGCCGAGAGGUAAAAGGAGUAAUCCGCCUUUGGAUGAGCCCGCGUCCGAUUAGCUAGUUGGUAGGGUAAAAGCCUACCAAGGCUACGAUCGGUAGCUGGUCUGAGAGGAUGAUCAGCCACAAUGGGACUGAGACACGGCCCAUACUCCUACGGGAGGCAGCAGUGGGGAAUUUUACGCAAUGGGGGAAACCCUGACGUAGCGACACCGCGUGAACGAAGAAGCCCUUUGGGGUGUAAAGUUCUGUCGGCUGGAACGAAAAAAUGACGGUACCAGCAAAGGAAGCAUCGGCUAACUACGUGCCAGCAGCCGCGGUAAU